AUGCACGCUGGCGGCGUGCCUAAUCCCUGCCAGUCGAGCGAACAGACGAGGAACUUGCUCCUCUGACGUUAGCGGCGGACGGGUGAGUAACACGUGGAUAACCUACCUAUAAGACUGGGAUAACUUCGGGAAACCGGAGCUAAUACCGGAUAAUAUAUUGAACCGCAUGGUUCAAUAGUGAAAGACGGUUUUGCUGUCACUUAUAGAUGGAUCCGCGCCGCAUUAGCUAGUUGGUAAGGUAACGGCUUACCAAGGCAACGAUGCGUAGCCGACCUGAGAGGGUGAUCGGCCACACUGGAACUGAGACACGGUCCAGACUCCUACGGGAGGCAGCAGUAGGGAAUCUUCCGCAAUGGGCGAAAGCCUGACGGAGCAACGCCGCGUGAGUGAUGAAGGUCUUCGGAUCGUAAAACUCUGUUAUUAGGGAAGAAUAAAUGUGUAAGUAACUAUGCACGUCUUGACGGUACCUAAUCAGAAAGCCACGGCUAACUACGUG
rnacentral:rRNA from 1 species